AUCUAAGUGGGAAACUUGUCUCAAGAUUAGAUUUCUGUACCUUUAUGGUAAUAAGACCUCCGCGAGACUAGCGGUUUGAUAGGCUGCAUGUGUAAGUCUAGCAAUGGAUUGAGCAGAGCAGUACUAAUUGGUCGAAUCAAUUUAUUUC
rnacentral:rRNA from 1 species